ACACACACACACAUAUAUAUAUAUAUAUACACACACACAUUGAAACUAACUAAAGAGAUAUAUAUUUGAGUUUUAUGUGAGAUACGAAACCCUAGAUCAUUUGGACCAUUAUAUAUAUAUAUAUGUACUAUAUCUUUUAAAAAAUUAUAUUAUAUUACAUCCAUAAUUUCCAUAUAUAUCAUCCUCUGUAAUUAAACAAAUUUUACUCAUAAUUAAAAUAAAAUUUUUGAUCGAAACUCAGUAUAUUUCUAUAAUUACAUAACACUUACAUAUUAAUAAUAAUCGUAAUUCUUGAUUCACUAGUAUAAAUGAGUACCGAUUUUUUGUUUUUUUUUUUAAUAUAAGAACUCAUAAUUAAUAAAUUACGAGACAGGUACGAAUAAAAAUUUAUAAAUUUAAAAUGAAUAUGCAUUUAAACUAUGUAUGAAUUUAUAAUUUUAUUAACAAAUACGAGAUAAAAAUUGACGUAAAUCUUCUCGUUCGUACUCAUUUCUAUAUACGAGAUAUAUAAUGCUAAUUAUAAUACAAUUUUUCGGAUCCUUCAUAGUAUGAAAUGGAAGUACGUUAUAUAAACAUGAAAUUAUUUGAACAAUUAAAAUUUCAUUUUUAAGUUAGUCGGCAAAUUAGUUCAAAAGACACUACGAAAAAGCAGUUGCUUUUACUGUCAAAACCCACUUCUUCUUCUUUUUUUUUCCCCUUAGCAAAAAUUAUGUACGAUAUAUAUAUAGGCAAAGCACUGCUUUCUGAUCUGCACGUCUCUUAAUCUUUUACUAAUUAUAUAAACUCCAAUUAUAUUACUCUAAUAUAACUUCAAAGUGAAGUAAUUACGGCACAGGGCAAAGAGUAAAAGCAUGAAGACAAUAGCAAUACAUACUUUUACCAAAAGCUCAGUAGUUAAUUAUAUAUAUACAUAUAUAUAUAUAUAUAGAAAGAGAGAGAGAGAGAGAAUUAUUUUUGGUGGGGAUGAUGGAAAUUUCUAUCACAACCCAAAACCUCACUAGUUGAUUAUAUAUAUAUAUAUAUUAUAACCAUUUUUUGUGGGAUGAUGUUAAACUUUCUAUCAAAUUAUGAUGGAUAAUUUAGAAUUUUUUGAAAUUUUUGUUGAUUAUAUAUAUAUAUAUAUAUAUAUAUAUAUGAACCAAAUUGAUAUCUCCGAUCCACUGGACAUUCAUCGUUUCCAAGAACUAAAAAAAAUUAGUAUAUCAAAUUAAGAGAGAUUUAAAUUAUGAUGGAGGGUGGUGACAGCAGUAGGUAGUCACUGGUCUCAACACUAAUUAAAUUAUAUGAUAUCAAAAUUAAUAAAGAUAAAAAAAAAAACAAGUUUAAUUGUGAAUUCCCAGAAGUUACCCCAGUAAGAAAAUUAUGGCUGUAGCUUAAGAGUUCUAUGAACAACAAACUAGGCAUUCCAUCUAUGUAUAUACAUAUAUAUAUAUAUAUGUUGUUAAUGAGGGAAAAUUUUGAGAAUACUUUAACCUAAAAUUAAACUCUCAAAAACCCAUAUAGUUAAAACUCUUGUUUUUACUCUGUGCGUGUGUGUAUAUGCACACACACACGCACACGUAUAUGUGAAAAGGUGAUAAGGGCAUAAAAUUACUCUCAAAACCCAUAUAGGUAAAACUCUUGUUUUUACUCUGUGCGUGUGUAUAUAUAUAUAUAUAUAUAUAUACACACACACGCACACACACAUAUAUGUGAAAAGGUCAUAAGGGUAUAAAAUUACCCUCAAAACCCAUAUGGGUAACAGUAUAUACACACAUACACACAUAUGUGAAAAGGUGAUAAGAGUAUAAAAUUACUCUCAAAACCCAUAUAGGUAAGACUGUUAUUUUCACUCUGUGUCUGUACACACACACACACACACACAUAUAUAUGUGAAAAGAUGAUAAGGGUAUAAAAUUACUCUCAAAACCCAUAUAGGAAAUACUGUUAUUUUCACUCUGUAUGUGUCUGUAUACACACACACACACACACAUAUAUGUAAAAAUGUGAUAAAGGUAUAAAAUUACUCUCAAAACCCACAUAUUUAAAAUUGUUAUUUUCACUGUGUGUGUCUGUAUAUACACACACACGCAUAUGUGAAAAAGGUGAUAAGAGUAUAAAAUUACUCUCAAAACCCAUAUAGAUAAGACUGUUAUUUUCACUGUGUGUGUGUCUGUGUAUAUACACACACACAUAUAUGUGAAAAGGUGAUAAGGGUAUAAAAUUACUCUCAAAACCCAUAUAGGUAAUACUGUUAUUUUCACUCUCUAUGUGUCUGUAUAUACAUACACACACAAACAUAUAUGUGAAAAUGUGAUAAGGGUAUAAAAUUACUCUCAAAACCCAUAUAUUUAAAACUGUUAUUUUCACUCUGCGUGUCUCUGUAUACACACACACUCACACAUAUAUAUAUAUAUAUGUGAAAAGGUGAUAAGGGUAUAAAAUUACUCUCAAAACCCAUAUAGUUAAGACUGUAUUUUCACUCUGUGUGUAUGCAUAUACAUACACACACACAUAUAUAUAUAUAUAUAUUUGUGAAAAGGUGAUAAGGGUAUAAAAAUUGGAAGUGAUAUAAGCACGGUUACAUAAAAAUGAUGAUGAUAAUGGUGGCCAACAAGACAUGGUACUAGGAAAUCCGGUUUUUGAGGAAUUAAACAUGGCAACAUUUAAUCAACAAACCGCUCCACUAAAUGAGAAGCCAACAGCGUUUAUGUUGUUAAUAAUUAACUAAAUAAUUAUGUCUGGAUUAUUUGGUUGACAGACAAAUGCAACUCACUUAAGCACUAGUUAAUUAAUGCCCUAAUUUUAAUUAAUUAGUGGGUUUUACUAAUUUUUAGGACACACCCUUUUGCUUCCUUGUGUCUUUAGCCCCUAAUCAAGAGCUAAUUUUUCUCGGGUUUAGCUAAUUGACCUUUGUACACCAUUUUUUCAUACCCUUCUUCUCCAAAAUUCAAAUUUGGAUGACAGGAAAGAUGGUUCGUGUUCGGUUGAAUCCAACUGAUGGAUACUUUCCUUGGAAAAAAGGUGGCUUCUCUUUUAUGUUUAUAUAACAUAUAUAUCUUCACUGAAUUUUGCCUUCUAAUUUCUGCCCUAACCAAACUGUUGUGUACUCUAGUUUAUAUGCCACUCAAUUGUACCUCCCAAAUAUUUUUGGUAGAAAUUUAAACAAAGAAUACUGCUUACUAGAAAAUCUGCCCUUGAGAUCAAGCAGAAAGCCAGGUCAAACUUGUUUCUCACUUCUUCUUAAAGUCAGAAUUAUUGCCUAAUUCCACUUUCUAGAAAAUGUUUCUAAUACAUGUCCGUAUGGGGUUUCAGAAACCUGCCUCUAGCCGUAUCUAGAAUUGGUGUUCGAACCACAUUUACCAUAUAUGUAUGUAGAUAUAGAUAUAUAUAUAUACACACACACACACACACACACACACACACCAUACAGGAGACUUCCUUGCAGAAAAUCAAAAGAAAAAAGAAAAAGGGGAAAAAAAAUGAAGCUUGGUAUCCUCGCAUACAAUCAACUAAAUCAAUUCAGGAAAAAGACACCCGCUAGUCAGUUAUUAAAAUUCUGAAACGGAGAUAAGCUUUCGGUUGUUAACAGUUGCUCGAUCAUUAAAGCCAAUCAAUUCAGACUGGUACGACGCACGUGCGCGCACUAAUAUAUACCCCCUAAUGAAGUUUACUGGGCAAGAUGUGUGUGUAUGGGUAUACGGGUGUAUAGGGUGCAGUAAUCAGAGAACUCAAGAAGCAAGUAUUUAUGGCCAAAUAAGAAACAAAUUGGACGGGGUCAGAGGCCAACCCCACGUGCCAUGAAAAGCAGAACGGUAUUAUUCAAAGCACCAACCUCACGUGCAAGGGAUCCAAUGCCCUUCGGCAUUUCAAAAAUUAAAUCCCAAUAUAUCUAAAGCUAAGAGUGUUUUGAACUGACAAAAUAUUCCUCCUUCUCUCGUUCAAAAACUAUAUAUAUAUAUAUAUAUAUACAAACAUUUUGUUUGUUGGUCAAAGGUCAAAGAUCCAGAGAAGUAACAAAGAUGAUGGGGGGUUUUUUUUUUUUUUUACGGGGAAGAGAGAUUUAGAGGAACAAACAGGAAGGUGGGUCAGCGUGCGAGCCGCACGAGGGGAUCCCUCUGCCCCCUUUUGCCCCUUUGUGUAUGACUCAGGCCCACUUCGGUCUGUUGGAGAGGGCUUUGUUUAUUUGCCUGUGCCUUACUUCCACAUGUGCCAUUAUAUUUUACGUGCCCUUGUUUUUAAGGGCCAGACCACGUGCGCUGCCUUUUUCUAGAUACUACGACUGCCCACGUGAGACCAUCUCAUGAUUCUAGUGUCCCAACGCUCUAGCUGAGUAUGCUUGGUUCCCCCCUUCCCAUGUAAUGAUCGCUACCAUCAUCAUAACAUCAUAAUUACAAUCAGCUGAAUGAUUGUGUGCGGUAGGGAGAGGAUCAGGAGGAUCGGCUAUUGUUUUAUUCUAAUUGGUUCUUGACCUGACGCCUAUUGGGUCUGAUCUAAUGUUCGUAAGCAAUAAAAAUGGACACGGCGGGUCCUGUCACAACACAAGGUUUUUAACAUUCUUAAGUUCGGAUGACAGGCACAUGUGACCUAGAAAUAUUGAAGUUAUAUUCAAUAUCAUAAGGCUCGGUUAUAUAACAGGGAUAUAAUAGUAGAAAAAUAGAAUCAAUCAAAUACAUCUACGCUAGACUCACCGGUAAGUACUUGCUAUUGUAGACAACAAUUUGCAAGUGAAUGAAUUUGACAUCUUUUGAACGAGGCUAUCAACAUCUUAUGUUGGAAUCUUGUCAAACGUAUAUAAACAUAAUAUUAAAAAAAAACAAAAACAAAAUAAAUCCAGCGAUACAAGGAUAGUUGCAUACGAGCCAGUAGAUGUUGCUAUACUCGCUGUUAACGAAGUUGUAAAAGAUAAUUUACAAUAAUCAUUUCUAUAUCGUAUAGUAAAUACCAUGCCUUUGCUAUAAUUAGUCCUUAAGAAUGCUAUUAUCACCUUUUUAGAUCUCAUCUAACGCAAUUUCUAUGUAAACAAAUUGGCAUACAACAAAUCAAGGUAGAAUAUGGUAUGAUAGAGCCAGCUAUGGAGAAGAUGGUAGUUCAAAUUAAUCAAACCUAAUCUCAAGGCUUCUGAGCAGAAAACAUGAUGAAAGACUGCUGAACUUUCUUCGUGAAGUUUACAAGACCACAUGAGGUGCACAAAUCCUCAAUCUCUUCCUCCGUCAAAUUGUUAUAGGUUCGCAUCGCCCUCUGCCACAUAAGUGAACAGGAUGAAAUCCAAUUUUAUAGCAUCAGACAGUUUCCAAUUAAAAGCAUAAUUCAUAUUUCCAUAUAUUUGAAAUAAGUAACAAAAUUUAAAUGGAUACCAAAACGACCCCAUUUACAGCACAAAAAUGCUUUUUUUAUGGAUCUACCCAUCUACAAACUAGUACUGAUGUUUGAUUGCUUAAGAACUUGACAACUAGAAAUGUGGUCAUAGAUCAAUCUAUGGUCUUCAAAAGUGCACACACUAUACACUAAAUAAAAGAGUUGAAUGAAGAUGACCAGACUAUCACAAUCUAUGUGUAAUCACAGUAAACAAAGAAAUCUUCGAGAUUGUAAACAGGUUAGAACAGCCAAAACAAUAUCCCAUGUCCAUAAUGUCAGAACCAAAUAGACAUGGAUUUUCACUGUCCACCUACUAAUGGAGCACACUAAUUUUAUCAAAAUAGCUGAGAUUCUGACAGAUUCGUGAUAAAAUGGGAACAUCAUAAAACAGAUAAAUCAAUCCACCAGACAUGGUCACUGAAUUCAUAAACCUUCUCUUUAAGUUGGAUGAUGAAAUUGAAACGCCAUAUUGGUAUCUUUCAAGAAAAGAAAAAAGGAAAAAAAAACCCUGAUAUUUGGCUGGAUGGUCGAGCAAAUGUUUGUAACAUGCAUACUUUGUCAGCAGCCCAAGCAAACGGAACUGGGCUGCUUCCUAUUUUCAGGGACUAGUUGAUGAGAGUGAGAGCACUAUUACCUGUAAGAAGGGUCUUAUCAGCUGUGGAGUAGAAGAACUGUAUCUAAGAAAUGUUGUUCCAACAAAAACUCCACCACUUUGUAAAAUACGACUGAUUUCAGCAACCUGGCAAACAUCCAUCAGAUAAUGUGAGAAGUUGAAUUAAGAGCUAGUAGAACAUGGUUUGAGGAAAUGAGCAUUCAUAUACAAAGAGCAAGCUGCAAGCCACAGAUUGAAGGACAAAUACUUGACCUUUACUGGGGAUGUAACCCAAUUUCUAUGAUCAUCACUAUCUCUCAAAGAAAGCAUGAAAUAAAUUGNNNNNNNNNNNNNNNNNNNNNNNNNNNNNNNNNNNNNNNNNNNNNNNNNNNNNNNNNNNNNNNNNNNNNNNNNNNNNNNNNNNNNNNNNNNNNNNNNNNNNNNNNNNNNNNNNNNNNNNNNNNNNNNNNNNNNNNNNNNNNNNNNNNNNNNNNNNNNNNNNNNNNNNNNNNNNNNNNNNNNNNNNNNNNNNNNNNNNNNNNNNNNNNNNNNNNNNNNNNNNNNNNNNNNNNNNNNNNNNNNNNNNCUAGUGGAAACAAAUCUCCUAGCCAUUGCCAAUGAUAUUGUCCUUUACUAUAACUCUACAUUUUGUAUGAAACUAUUCUAUUCCUAUUCAAUAUCUAGUUCUUCGUUAUUUGAUAUGUAAGUUACUUCAUUCACAAAACAUAUAAGUUAAUUAACGACAAAGAAAAUGACUGCAAAAAUGAAGAUGGAGCUUGAAAUUCUUAAAAUAUUGCUUUUAGUACUUUAUACAAAACUCUUUUUGCUAUGCUUGAUUAUUUCACAAACACACACCUCUUAGGUACUUUCAUUAAUAAACACAUGAAUUUAGGAAAUCAAAUACAACUUAAAAUUAUGAAGCAAAGUUUAUGAACGGAAGAUUGGGUUUAGGCAAUGUCCCUGUGGACCAGUUGCACUUCAAUUUUCAACUCUGCAAACCAAACUGCUAAAAGAACUCACAGAAGAUCUGUAAUAUCCGGUCCUAGACACACCAAUUUCCAUUUAUUAAGUUAAGGGAUUAUUUUACAAAAAAUAGAAAUGUUAUGGUUUCUUAGAUGUUCUAUAUAUAAAGAUAAGUCCUCAAAUUAAUUUAGAACUCAAUAUUAUAGAAUUUAAAUAUGAUGACCAACUUAAAAAGAAAGAGGAAAAUAAAAGAUUAUUUUUCUAGCAGCAAUUUUUGACUGUUUCUCAAAUUUUCUGGCUACAUAACUUGAAUGUGAAUUUUGUCUGUUAAAUUCUAGCUCUAUAUAUUUAACCUAAACCUAUAGGUAUCUAGAUAUCGUUUCUCAAUUUAGUUUGUGCUGGGAGAAUUGAACCCUUGGUUGUGUUAUGCAAAUAUGAAAUUUUGAACUUCAGUUUUUAUCUAAUUUUAGAAUAUUAAAAUAGAUAACUUGUGUUAAUAAUAUGGUUCAAAAUUGGUAGAGAUGUAUACUUAAUUUAUAUAUUAUAUAUUGAGGUUUUCUUAGUUGCAUGGAAAGAGUUGUGAAUUUUGAUGGUAAUAGAUUAAAAUAAUUUUGUAUUAAAUCUUAAGAAACUUGAUUAUUUCUAAGUUAGAGUUUGGAUUUAUUAUUAUUCACUGAGUUAUAAGUUCACCUUAUUUUCAUUUUCUUACAAAUUUUGAAGAAUAAAUUACAUAUUGCGGAUUUGAGAAGUGUGAGUAGCUAAAGAAUUUAAAUUAAAUAUUUUAAACCUAUUAAAUUUAUUUUGAUUUAGAUUUGUAGAUCUUAUUGAUUCAAGGAGUUUAAUUCUCUGAUUUUUGAGAUAUAAUUGCAUUUUAAAAGGAUUUACUAUUUAAUAGUUGACGCAUUUUUCUUUGCUUGGUUUUAGGUUUUUGUUAGUUCUUGCAUGUUCAUCAAUUUUUUCAUAAAUGGGUUGCAAUAUAAUGUGCCCAACUUUGGCUUUGGGCAUUACAAGAUCAUUGAUAUAAUGAUACAAUACUUACAGCAUUAGAAGGUGAUGGCCAGCAAUGUAAAGCCGCACCAGCAUGAACAGCAUCAACAGAUGCAGACGAGAAUGGAAGCCUAGAAACAUCUGCUCUAACUAGAGCAAGAUUGCUGCAACAUUCUUGUAUGAAAAGUGAAUCAGUUUUCUUUUUUUGUCUUAGACAGAAAAUGCAACUACAGAUAAAACAAGAAAUAAAUGUCUAGCACAUUUCACCAUUGAAAUAUACAAGAGGCAGCCAAACUUACGCAUCCAAAAGAGUAUCAUCCUGUUUGAUAAAAUCAUAACAUUGACGAAGCAUGUUUUCUGAGAAAUCAAGAGCAAUAACUCCAGAAUAUGUCCUGGAUUGCGCAAAUUUUCGAGAAAACAAACCACUUCCACAGCUAACAUCCACCAGAAGGCCCCCUUGUACUGGUUUGAAGUAUUCCUGAGCCAUUUUGAACUGCAUUCAAUAUAAAACAUGUCAAUCAUACAACAAAAUAUCAGCACAAUUGACAUAUUAAUUCACAACUUGUCAACUGAAUCAGCUUGUUAUCAGCUUUAAAACAUUGUGCAGAAUAGGCCCUCUUAAUGCCCUCCGAUCUCUUAUAUAUCAUAACAAAGUAUCCUAUGGGAAUUAAUUAUAGUAGAAUUACCUUCUUUAAAAUUUCACCAAUAUGAUUGGGCUAAAUAUUAAUGAGACUCUCAUCUAUAAAGAAUCAUUAACAAAGCAUGUCAAUCAUACAACAAAUAUCAGCACAAUUGACAUAUUAAUUCACAACUUGUCAACUGAAUGAGCUUGUUAUCAGCUUUAAAACAUUGUGCAGGAUAGGCCCUCUUAAUGCCCUCCGAUCUCUUAUAUAUCAUAACAAAGUAUCCUAUGGGAAUUAAUCAUAGUAGAAUUACCUUCGUUAAAAUUUCACCUUUAUCAUUGGGCUAAAUAUUAAUGAGACUCUCAUCUAUAAAGAAUCAUUAACAAAGCUGAAUAAGACAUACCUCUUCAUCAGGACCUGGGAAGCCACUUAGAAUAAAAUUUUGACGCCAACCCCUUUCAUACAGAAAAGAUACAAGUGGACUCCUAAAAGAAGGUGAAAGCAAAAAAGUUGAGGCAACAGCAUUUCCUAAAUCAAGCAUAUCAAAAGCAUGAUUUCUAGCUUAAUCCAUCACAUGUCAAAUCCAAUAUUCGGAAAGCAAAAAAAAGACUAUCCAAAUUCAUUUAUAAUCUUUCCAGCUAGCGGAGAAAAUGAAGACUAUAUUGAGAGGAAAGUAUUAACUAAGUGCAUGUACAUGCAGCUGUUUGCUACUUUCACAGAUAAAAGUUCACACUUCACAGUUGGUAUCCAGUAGUCGUGCAACUUAUACUUCAAGAAACAAAAACCAAUAACAAUAAAUGCUGAAAUGCAUGAACAUACGGUCACAAUCAACAAACUAUUUUAUACCUGAACAACUCUGUCAUAGUUGGUUUUACUUCAUUGUAGUUCUGCAGUCCAGCAGUAACAGUGAGAUCCAAAUAGACAUCUUUGCUGGAAUAUGUCUUGUUGCAUUUUUCACACUUGAAUCCAGAUCUGUAAAUGGCUUGCCUGCAGAUUUUACAAUUGCUAAAUGAAACCACAACUAGAUAGAGAAUUUCAUUAAAAGAAUAAAAAAACAAAAAGAAACAUAUAUACCUGCAUAUAUCAUUAUGUAUUCCAACUUACAAUUUAACGCCAGGAGGGCCCUUCCUUAUCAAUGGUCCAUAACAAACUGGGCAUGCAAACAAGUCAGCCUCCAAACGUUGAUUCUGUUGAGAGCCUAAGUCCUGGAAAUAGAAAAACAUGUUAUAGAGUCAAAUGAUUAACAGUAUAAUCAAAUGCAUUCCUUUAAAAGGAAGAUGAUGUCACUGUUAAUUACUAGAUUAAGCAAUGAACAAGUGUUUUCUGGAAACCAAAAGUUAAUCUAAAUUCAAGCAAAAAAGCAAAUGGACCUUGAUAUAACAUUGUUACCAAACUUGCCAAUAGCUAAGACAUACUGUGUUGAAAGAAGUUAGGUUUAAGUUGGAGUCAAACAUAAACCAGCAUAGGUUUUUCUCUUUAUUGCAUGUUUGACCAAUUCUAAUGUCAAUUUCUAUCACAUCCUUUUACUUUAUUACUGUAAUAUCCUUUAUAUGGAGAGUAAGAUCAUAUUUUCCCUAAUUGAAUCAGUUCCAACAAUUCCUUGAAAAUAGAUUUCUAAAUCUUACAUUCGAAAUAAGAAUUAGAAAUCUUAAGCUAUAUGUAAAAGCGAAAAUUGAUUCAAAUAUGAAAGUUAUGGUAUGCUCAUGUGUAUUGAGAGUAUAAUGACGAUUAAGUCAAUGACAGAAAGUGAGUCAAACAAACAGUUCCUAGCGUUAACUGUACCCUCCUAAAAUUUUUCUUCUUGGGAUAAAAGAUUUUUCCAAACAUACAAACACCUCCCGAAUAUCAGUUAGCUGACAGGUCCCAACUAUUAGAAAAUCCUAAGAUUGACAUUUUCUUUUUCUAUCGCAAAAUAAAACAGUCUCCCUUGCACAGUUUUAUUGAUUUUAUCAUCAACCAAACUGACCGCCACUUCACCAGAAAAUGAGAAGCAGCAGUCAGUUCUAUUUUCAAUAACGACGCAGCAAAGUAGAACGCCGAAAAUUUGUCUGUUUACCUUUAUUUUCCCCGCAACCAAUCAUCAUCAUCAUUUAACAACUUCUAAAACACAAACUGCAGUACCUUUGAAGUGUAUAAACAUAAACCGCUAAUUCCUAAUCUGCGAAGGUCGAAGAAGAAAAAUAAAAAGAGACUAAUCAGAUAGACGUACUGAUUCCAGAGCAACAGCUGAACUGGCACGAAUAGCGGAGCGGGACCUGAGUGGAGAAAACCGGAGGCGAGGACGAAAUAAGGAAUUGUCAGAAAGGCAUGGGGAGUUCGGGAAUAAAGAUGUGCGGAGAAAGAGAGGAGAAGAGAAAGCUAUCGCCAUUACAGACCGGUACAAACCCUCUCUCGGUCUCAGUAUUUUUUUUGCCGCUGCUUCUUCUCCGCUCUCGUCUGGUUUCCCUCCAGAUGUGAUGACGAGUCCUUAUAAACUGCCCUUUUGGUGGAAAUAACGCAAAAUUCAAUUUACUGCGAAAAUGGGCGAUUGCCUUUGCCAACUCGGGCAGACCACAUUUUAUUAUUAUAAUAAUAAUUUAUUAUUAAAACAUUUAGGAUAAAUUUAAAAAUAUUUAAAUUUAUAAAUAAUAUAACAUUCGCUAAUAAAUCACAAAUAAUAAUAAUAAAUUAUUAAAAUAAUAAAAUACGAUGCAUUUCAUUUUUAAUUACACAAAUUUUUAUAUGAGAUUAAUUUUUUUACUACUAUAAUACAAUUUACACGUUUUUUUUUAUUGAAUUAAGUAUAAAAUUACAAAAUAAUUUCAUUUUAUUUAUAUUUUUAAAAAUACUUAAUUUUUUUAUUAAUGAAUUAUUAUAUAUAUAUAUAUUAUGAAUUGUGACGAAAAUAGUCAACGAGAGGGAGACGGUUCCUCAAUGCAUUACGUGUAGAGUUGUUGUGCAUUAGUCUUGCGUGUGCUGGUAAUUUGGUUGGGCGAUUUAUGCGUGAGUUUGAACGAUGGAUAUGAAUGUCAACACAAGCCUACGAGGCUUGCGUCUCUGCAAUUAGGCGUUUUCCUCCGCUAACACGUACCUUGUUUUAGGGCAAUAUCCCGAGCAACAAGUAGGGUUGGGCGACUCGGUUCUGUCGAGCCCUCGGCCUCUUCUCUCCUGUUCUUUCUCUUUUUGCCACUUUGAACACUAAUCAUUUCGUUAAGAGUCUGUUUGAAUAAUAAUUCAGUGUAGAUGAUAUAAUUUUUUUACGAUUUUUUUUUUUUAUUGUUUACGUUUUUAAACACAUAGUACAAUUUUUUUACUGGUUAAAUUAUGAUUCUCAAUAUUAUGGUUUUAUUUUUAUUUUUUCAAACUACCGAUUCGUUAUUCUUAUAAUGGUUCGAUUAUUACUCUUGCUUUCACUUCGAUUUACAAUUUUUUAAUUAUUUUUUUUCAAUCACAUUCUCUCUCUCUCUCUCUCUUCGUGGACAUUUUUCUUCAUGCAAACAUUUCUAUAUAUGUAAUAAUUUAAUUAUAUAUAUUAUAUAUGUAUAUAUUGAAUUAGAUAUAUUUAUAUAUCUAUAUAUUUAUUAUUUUAAUUAUUUAUUUAUUAUUAUAUAUAAUAAAAUAUUAAUAAAAUAAUAUAAUUUGUUCAAAUAUAUAAUCAUAUCAUACUGUCAUUCUAAAUAAAAAUAAUUGUCACUAUUAAAUAUUAAUAGACCAUCAUUCAAAUAUAAUUAAAUUUAAAUAUUAAUUAAUUUUGCACGUAUCAAAUCAUUCCAAAUAUUAAUGAACUAUUAUAUAAAUAAUCUAAUUCAGUCAUAAGACUUUAAAAAAAAUACAAGAUUAUAUUUGUCGAUGGUAAAAUAGAAAAAUCACAUGCAUAUAGGCCAAUGGGUUACCUCUUAUGGGCCGACUUAGCUUUGCUCUUUGUUCGUCGUUGUUCCUAUUCAAGGCUCGAGCCCAUAUUUUGAACAUGACUUGGUUUCUCUCGAAAAAAAAAAAUUAUAUUAAUAUGAAUAUAAAUAUAUUUAUAUUAAUAUAAUAAAAUAAUUACGUUGUAUUCAGAUUAAAUAAUUUAUAAAUUUGCAACAGUACCCCAAAAAAAAUUAAAAAAAAAAUUCAAAAUUUAGCUUUUCAAUUGGACGGGUUGAGUUCAAUGCAACUUUUUUACAAUAGACGCGAUGUACCAUAUAGAAACCCGGAAACGGAUAUGUGCAUUUGGAAACACAAGGCCACAGAAGCGAAAAACAGAUAGAAGAAACUGAAAACAUUUGGAGAAGAAAGCUUAUGGCUACUUCCAUUAAGCCUCUGCUUCCUCUAUCUUCGUUACCGAAACAAACAAUCGAAUCCUCUUCAUCUCCGUGCACGAUUCCCUGCAAACCUGUCCCCGAUUCAAAGUGUUCUUCUCACGCGAGGCAUCAACGAGCACAGGUUUCAGUUUCCGUUGCUUUCAAUCCUUCUGGGAAUUUCGACCUCUCUCUAUUCGACGAUGACGACGGUAACUCCUCUGUUUCAUCUGAUUCAUUCUCUUCUUAUUAUUUCUUUCAUAAACAUCAGAACAUGUGGCGGUUGUCUGAUAAUUGUGAAGAAAGGCGUAUAAUCCAAUGAGUGGUUUGAAAUCAAGGUUCGGAUUAUUUUUAGGGAUUUGAUAAUGGAUGUGAGAUGAACUUACAGAUUCACCAAAAGUUUCGCCUCCAAUGCCGCCGAGAGAAGGUCGAUUCGAGGUGUUUCUGGACAAGGAGGCAAUUCGCCGGCUGGAUUUAACUCCAUUCCACACAGCUACUGGGAUCACCUCGCCUUCAUCUGGUAAGUACUCAAGUACUCUGCGAUUAUUGUUAUGUAAUUAAGCAAAAGGGCGCCGGUUCCUCAAAAAACCUAAUUAAUUAAUAAUAUAGUGGAGCCAAAGGAGUUUCUGGAACGAACAAUUGGAUUCACGAUAACUUAUAGGAGAGAAGACGAGCAUGACCAAAGAGAACUAUCCGAAUUGCCUGAUAUAAGGCUGUGGUUUGUGAGACUUGAUGCGGUAUAUCCAUGGCUGCCUGUGUUGCUGGAUUGGCGGGCAGGAGAGCUUGCUCGAUAUGCGGCCAUGUUAGUGCCGCACCAGAUGAGCAUGAGAAUGGGGGUAGUGUUUAAUCCAGAGGCACUGGAGUUGUUUAUAAUGAAGAAGGUUUUUGUAGUCUACUGUUGGUUGAAGAAGCAUGAGAUUCCAAAGAAGGCAGCUAGGUUAAAGGCGAGUGACAUGGCUAGGAUGCUUGGUUUUGGAAUUGCAGAUGAAAUGUUUGAUCUCAUUGAUCAACAUGAUACCUUCACUUGAUUAAUUCCAACCUUCGCAAGUCAUUACAAAUUAAAUUAAUAUUUAACAUCCAUAAGUUACUCGAUCAUAUAUUUUUUAUUGGGCAAUUUAAACUAGUCUCUGAAACUGUGAUCAAGAUUUCAGUAUUGCUAUAUACUACACACAUAUAUAUAUACACACAGACACAUAAUUUUGUAUGCAAAAUGGGGGGAAGCAAAUGGAGGCCAAGUUAGUUAGGAUUGAUUGGGGUUUUGGCGGGUUAUUGUCAGGUACUGGGAAUUGCGACCACAAACGUUGUUGUUGGGAGGCUCGACACAACUCAGUGAGUCUAGCUCAAUUCUGCCCCAAUGGGCCGAACAUAUUGGACCUAAGACCAACCUGACUGCUCACCUAUAGAACUAGGGCAUACGACCCAAAUUAUAUGUUUUCGGCCCAGUUUGGCCCUUUUUAACACCUCUACGUUUGUGUGUGUGUGUAUAUACAUAUUAUAUAUAUUCACUAACAGUAUUACCUUGGAGUUUAUGUCUUAACCAUUAUAUUAUCAUAUUAUUUUUGCGUAUGAUCACUAUAUAUAAUUGAGCAAAUUCCCAGUUGAUCGAUCAUUCAUAAUUGGUGCUGGCCCCAAAAGAAUAUAUAUAUAUAUACACACACAUUCACACACAGAGGAGUAGAUGAAGGUGUAGGAAGAAGGGGGCGCUGUUCACAUGCAUGCAUAGUUCUCUGUGAGGUGGAGUAAUCAUGAACUUUUGCCUCUGGUCUCUCGUUCUGACGGCAACCCCUAACUUGUACACUAUCAUAUUAUAUAUAAAUACAUGAGUUCGUAUGCAUGGGGCCAGCUGGGAGUAGGGCGGUCACGCCCAUUUGUAGCAGUAACAGAACAGAGAUAUACGUGUGUGUGUGUGUAUAUAUACUAUAAGAGUAUGGAACAUAUGUAAUUUGUGUAUGAGGUAGGCAUGGAGACGCAUGUAUGUAUUUCACCUAAGGAGAAUUAACAAGAAUUUUGACUUACUGUUUUUGUGUAUGUGUGUGUAUCUAUAUAUACAUGUAUGUAUAUAUAGGGGAAUAUAAUUAUAAUAUGGUUAAGAAGAUAUGGGUUAAUAAUUAAUGUUCCAUGGAUUUGAGGCAACCGUAGUUGAAUUUGUGUCGAAGACAAUUGUCAAAAGACGCCUGCGCCUGCCGAUACACUUUCUUUCCUUUGGAAUGGCGAAGGUGAUGGGUUCCUACUCCCAUUUCACAAUCCUAUUUUGUGUAUGUAUUGUG
rnacentral:lncRNA from 1 species